rnacentral:misc_RNA from 1 species
GUCUCCGUUGGUGAACCAGCGGAGGGAUCAUUAUCGAGUUUAUAACUCCCAAACCCUAUGUGAGCUUACCACUUGUUGCUUCGGCGCGCGCUUCGGUGCCGCCGAGGACACUUAAACUCUUUGUUUUUAUAAGCAUUUCUGAGUGGCCGAAAGGCAAAAUACAAAUGAAUCAAAACUUUCGACAACGGAUCUCUUGGUUCUG